UAGAAGCUUUAAUUAUUUAUAAAAUUAAUUGAAGUUUAUUGUAAUAGAUAAUUUAUGGUAAUAUUAGCUGGGGAAGUGGUUUUAAUAAAAUUAAAAUUUUAUUAUACUUAAUUGAAGGAUAAUGAUCUUUUAUAUAAAGAUAAAUGGGAUAA
rnacentral:rRNA from 1 species